AAGACUAUACUUUCAGGGAUCAUUUCUAUAGUUCUUUACUAGAGAAGCAUGCAGGAAAGUGAGCCCCACCCUAGAGGUUCCAGGACUGGGG
rnacentral:snoRNA from 1 species